CUAAUUCCCGCCAAAUUUCAAAGGGUUGUUUCAGACUGAGCCAAGCAAAGCAGAAAGGAAGAGGCCCUUGAAGGGACUGAAGCAGAAAGGGAAAGACAGAGAAGGGGAGAAUGAGUGCUCUAUAAAAGGUGGAUUCCCCACUACAAAGUUAAAAGCUUGAGAGCCUUCAUUCAACAGCUGGUGGAAGUAGAAGCCGACACCCACAGCUAAACACUGAACUGAACUGGAAUCCAGUUGCAGAGAAGGACGAAUGAAGAGCAAAGGGGUCAAGACCAAGCUGGUGAAACCUACAGAAACAGCUGACCUGAACAGGGGGAGCUCAUGGCCCCCAGACAGAUCACUGGGAAACCAGCAUAGGACUGAUCCAGACCCCAUGAAUGUGGGUGUCAGUGAGGAGGCCUUGGAAAUCUAUGGGGCUUCUUGUAGUGAAUCAGUACUUAUCCCUAGGAUAGGAAUGGACUUUGGGAACCCAUCCAACAUGGAGGGAUACUCCCUGAGCCAAGACACAUGGGGGAGGGCCUAGGCCCUAUCCCAAAGGAUAGGAGAGACUCUGAAGCCCCCUAUGAAAGGCCUCACCCUCCCUGGGGAGCAGAAAGGGUAUGGGAUAGGUAGGGUGUUGGGGG
rnacentral:lncRNA from 1 species